UACGGCGGGUGCAAGCGUUACUCGGAAUCACUGGGCGUAAAGGGCGCGUAGGCGGCCUAGCAAGUCUGGUGUGAAAGCCCAGGGAUCAACCCUGGAAGGGCACUGGAAACUGUUAGGCUUGAGUUCCGGAGAGGAGGGGGGAAUUCCCGGUGUAGCGGUGAGAUGCGUAGAUAUCGGGAGGAAUACCGGUGGCGAAGGCGCCCCUCUGGACGGAAACUGACGCUGAGGCGCGAAAGCGUGGGGAGCAAACAGG
rnacentral:rRNA from 1 species